UUAAGGGGAAGACAGGCCUCCCUGAACCGACAGGUCCCAGCAAAGGAGGUUUUUCAAAGAAUUCUUCAGGGUCCUCUACACCCCCAUCCACCACCCUCAAAGGCUUUGACUCCAGUCUGAACCCCUGUCCAAGGCCAUGAGCAACGAGCUGAAACUGGCUUCUAUGGGUCUAUAGACUGGUGCGUUCUGCAUUCUGACUUUCUCAGGAACCGACCAUAUCAUCUGAAAAUGGAGGUGAAUCUCAAAUGCUCCAAAUGUUUGUUGAUUUUUCAGAGAAUAUACCCUAAGGCAUUACCCAAUGUGACAGACUUCUGACCCUGGAGGACCUACAUAUUGAGAAGCAAAGUGGCAUUUCCUUGAGCUGUGCUACAGCCAAGUUCCAUUUCUUACUGCCUUCGGGUGACCGGCCAGAUUCACGAGGAACACUCUCAGAAGGUGUGUGAGCCUGUCCGCCUACAGGCCAGGCAGAGGACUAUUCCUGAUGAUGAGAUCAUGGCCACAGAAAUAUAGUUGAGGACACAAAAAUCUCUAUUUUUAUAAUGUUUACCUUCUGUCUCAUUGUAUACAGAUGUGAGGUUAUAAAACUGACAUCUAUUUUCAGCAUAGGAAACCAAGUAAUUUAACUCAAGCCUAUUUAAGAAAAAAAAAAAAAAGGACAAUACAUAUGUCUGAAAAGUGGUUUCCAUAUGCAUAUGCAAAUACAAGCAUCAAGGUAUUUUAUUAUAUUUUCAGUUUGGUUAAUGUGUAUUUUAGUACGCCAAGAUUCUAAAAGAGAUCUCCAAGAUUUGCUUUGUUGGGAAUUUUCUCAAGUGUUUUUGUUUCUCAUCACACGUGGAGCCUGUAGAUUGGAGAAAUGGCCUUCCCAUAACAGCAAAAGUUCAGCAUCGUGUCAGAGAUCCUUUUAUUUUUCUUUUGAAAGACUAACAACUGGCUACUCAGAUGUGGUGCACAGACCCACAGCAUUAGCACCCCCUUGGAGCCUCUUCAGAAAUGUAAAGUCUCAGCCCCCAUCCCAGGCCUGCGGCCCCCAGAGCUGCAUGUUCACCAGAUCUCCAGGUGAUCUGAGUCUGCCUAAGCGGGCCGGCAGCACCGCACUGACUCACCAGGCCACAGAUGCCAUCGAUUCUGGAAUCUGGCAGGUUUUAUUAUCCAGAUUGAUGAUCACCGGGUGCAGGAGAAGCUGGGCUCCCACCGUCACAACUGGCCUCGCUCUGCAGGGAGAAGACACACGGUUUUAACCAGCCCCAGGAGGGGCAGGCAGAAGCCCACUGCUCCACCUCUAGAGGCCACGGCCAACAUUUCCGGCCCCGGUGCCAAGAACUCCCCUCACUGAGUGAACAGGUGGGCUCUAGACUCAACCAACGACCUACAGACACAUCCGGUAGCUCACGAAUACAAAUAAAGGAGCCAUGGGCCCAUGAAGCACAGCCACGCUCACGGACCUUCUCUGUCUGUGGAGGGGCUAACGGUAUUUUGGCGACAUGGCUGUGAAAGAUUUCUCUUCUGGGACCUGCUGGUCUGUCCAUAUUCGCAUCUGAAUAUGAGGAAGUACAUCAUCCUACAGUCACUCACGUUGCAUCUGUAAGUGCUCGAGUUUUGCUAGUUUUGUCGCCAUGUUGGCUGGUGAUUUUGAACCGCUGAUCGAUCAUUUUGUAGACAAGCUUUGCAGAUUGAGCUAAACCCAUGAGGGUGAGCUGACUCAUGCUGCGCUUCACGUGGAGCAAUGGUUCUCAACCCUGACUGCACAACAGAAGCACCCCGGGAGCUGAAAAACAGAAGCCAGCCUCCCGGGGUCAAGGCCAGGCACUGGAAUGUCAAAAACAAAAACCUCCAGGUGCUUCUAUGGUGCGGCCGAGUUUGAGGAGAGGGUCUAAUGCCGAGUAAACUCCAUUCCAACCACCCAGGGAGGAUAAAUCAGACAAGAAAAAUGGAGGACCUGGAACAGGGCCACUGAGAGCCCACACCAUGCCUGUGUGUGAAUUUAAAGGUGCAUCUGCUCAUCCCAAGGGAAGGGAACCACCUGGUCUCCUAAAUGUGCCAAAGCACUACCGAAUCUCCCGAAAACGUCAGUGCCUGCGAGGAUCUGCGGAUUUCUGAAGACCAGCACGUUCACUUGCAAGUACAGAUGGAAGACCAAACAUUUAUAACUGCGCUAAGGAAUUCCAAAUCUUCUCUGAUGGUGAAACUACUUGGAACCUCCAUGCUCCAGGAAGCAUAGCUGUCUCAGCAUGGUUUAGCAGGCGUCUGCUUGAAGGACUCCAAGUUCCUGGUUUUUAACUGGGUAAUAUGUGUCCACGCAGUCACAGAAAAUAACACCUCAACACGGUUUUAUCCACACUUUGCAGAUGUCAGCAUGAGGGGGACCAUCUGGGUAGAAAUUCAACCCAAUUAUGACACACUUCAGGUCUUAAUAAAAAGCAGAUAUCUUUUCUUUCAGUCCUGAUUCCCAAUCGACAUAUUUCCCAUGUGGUUCUAACCGCAUGGUUCUUACUGAACUUCAUCAGUAACAGCUAAUGAAUUUCAAAAGACAUUUGUACCAGGGCAACUUAUUUCUAUGUGUUCUCUUUGGUAUGCAUUUUGUUUUUCCUCCUUGACUCUAUAAUAAAUGCAUUACAAAUGAACUUCUAACUUCUAUUAAGGGAGGCCAAAAUAUACACGCAAUUAAUAUUCACUUGAGUUUACAUAUGAUUACAGACUUUUCAAGAAAGAAUAAAUUAUAUAUACUUAGGUCUUAACCUAAAAUUUAUGCUUUGAUAUGUUAGUAGAAAAUUACAAAUUUCCUUCUUUAAAAUCUUAUGCUUUUGAUGUUUCUGGACUUUUAAAAAAGAAAAAACAAGUUCUGGAAAUCCUCACCCAAAAUGCACACAACUGGCAAAGAACUGGAGCAUCUUACAGAUUAGAGCAUAAAAAUGAAAAUAUAAACAUUUCUGUUUGCAUCUAGGCAAGAAGAUGGUAGACCUCAGAGAGAAAGGAUCUUGUCACCAUGCACUGGGUGAUCUUGGGCAAUUCAUUUAAUCUUCUGCAGUUUUAAUUUCUUCUC